GGUUCUCAAAGGAAAUCAUGUGAUUCUCAGGAUUUUAACUUUUCCUGAAUUACAAUUUGAAGUACAAAAUACAUGCUUGCAUGUCUUUUACAAAAUUACAUUAGAGUCAUUGAAACAACGUAUUUGAAAGUGCAUACAGCCGUCAUUCUUUUCUUCCUGUAUUUUAAGUAGUAAGCUCUGCUGGUGCGAAGUCCAGAUGUUGACCCACCUGUGGAGACUGGGAGCAGCAAGAGUGGACAUCAGGAAUGGGAGUAUCUGGAAUAAUGGCUGAUCAAUAAUUUCUAAACUACUCACAUGCAAUUCAUCCAUUGAUUCACUCAUUUAUUCACCCACAGACUGGUCCAGGACAAUCACAGGUGAGCUACACAGACACAGUAGGUCAAAAUUGUUUAGAGAACAAAGAUAGCACUACUUAUCCUGAGCUUAUGUCAGCUGCAGAGAUGGUAUUAUAUAUGCCCCAGAUGGAGUGAGGAUUUGAGGACCCUUAGGCGAGAAAGGACUGCUGCAAACUAUUUUCACAGAUUGGCUUAAAACUUUUCAACUGGGACAUUGGGAAGUUUCAGAAUAGAAGGGAAAACAUUUUCAAAUGUGAGUAGAGGAGGAUACUACAAAACUGUUAUUAGCUAUAUAGGAGAGAAGCAUGGCAUUUCUGGAAGCAUAAUCACACCUCCUAAACAGAACAAUACUGAUCUAGCCCUUCAAAGGAACACUUCCCACAUCUAUAAAAUGGACAGAAUUGAAUUUAACAAUGAACUCCAGGAAGACUCACCCUGAGAGCCACUCUCUCCAAACCCCCUUGUUGCUCCAAUGUGUCUAAGAGGGUUUUGCCGCUGACUUCUAGUUGCCAAUCUCUUCCCCGUGGUGUGGAACAAGACCAAUCAGGACAGGUCCAUCCCAGCAUUAAGAGACAAUCAAC
rnacentral:lncRNA from 1 species